rnacentral:rRNA from 1 species
UACAGAGGUCUCAAGCGUUGUUCGGAUUCAUUGGGCGUAAAGGGUGCGUAGGCGGCGCGGUAAGUCGGGUGUGAAAUCUCGGAGCUUAACUCCGAAACUGCAUUCGAUACUGCCGUGCUUGAGGACUGGAGAGGAGACUGGAAUUUACGGUGUAGCGGUGAAAUGCGUAGAUAUCGUAAGGAAGACCAGUGGCGAAGGCGGGUCUCUGGACAGUUCCUGACGCUGAGGCACGAAGGCGUGGGGAGCAAACAGG